UACGUAGGAGACGAGCGUUGUCCGGAAUUACUGGGCGUAAAGCGUGCGCAGGCGGCUUGCCAAGUCAGAUGUGAAAGCCCCGGGCUCAACCCGGGAACGGCGUUUGAAACUGGCAGGCUAGAGUUUGGCAGAGGGGGGUGGAAUUCCACGUGUAGCAGUGAAAUGCGUAGAGAUGUGGAGGAACACCGAUGGCGAAGGCAGCCCCCUGGGCCAAAACUGACGCUCAGGCACGAAAGCGUGGGGAGCAAACAGG
rnacentral:rRNA from 1 species